UACGUAUGGUGCAAGCGUUAUCCGGAUUUACUGGGUGUAAAGGGAGCGUAGACGGAGAAGCAAGUUAGUUGUGAAAUCCCUCGGCUUAACUGAGGAACUGCAACUAAAACUACUUCCCUUGAGUACUGGAGAGGAAAGUGGAAUUCCUAGUGUAGCGGUGAAAUGCGUAGAUAUUGGGAGGAACACCAGUGGCGAAGGCGACUUUCUGGACAGUAACUGACGUUGAGGCACGAAAGUGUGGGGAGCAAACAGG
rnacentral:rRNA from 1 species